CAUUGCCGCUCCAACCUUUAUACACUUUUCUAUUUGUCCCAUACAAAGAGUACACCUGUUGCCGCUCCAACUUUUUUUGCUGAUCCUAAAAAACCCAUAUUAAGGAGCAUUGAGAAUUCGUUUCUGCUUGGGCCACUUCUUGUUCAUGCAAGCGACGGUGGUGCUGGUGGUUGGCGAUGGUAGGCGG